rnacentral:rRNA from 1 species
AGCGGCGGACGGGUGAGUAACGCGUGGGUAACCUGCCUCGUACAGGGGGAUAACAGUUGGAAACGGCUGCUAAUACCGCAUAAGCGCACAGUACCGCAUGGUACCGUGUGAAGAACUCCGGUGGUAUGAGAUGGACCCGCGUCUGAUUAGCUAGUUGGUGGGGUAACGGCCUACCAAGGCGACGAUCAGUAGCCGACCUGAGAGGGUGACCGGCCACAUUGGGACUGAGACACGGCCCAA